AACGAACGCUGGCGGCAGGCUUAACACAUGCAAGUCGAACGCCCCGCAAGGGGAGUGGCAGACGGGUGAGUAACGCGUGGGAAUCUACCCAGUUCUACGGAACAACUGAGGGAAACUUCAGCUAAUACCGUAUACGCCCUACGGGGGAAAGAUUUAUCGGAAUUGGAUGAGCCCGCGUUAGAUUAGCUAGUUGGUGGGGUAAUGGCCUACCAAGGCGACGAUCUAUAGCUGGUCUGAGAGGAUGAUCAGCCACACUGGGACUGAGACACGGCCCAGACUCCUACGGGAGGCAGCAGUGGGGAAUAUUGGACAAUGGGCGCAAGCCUGAUCCAGCCGUGCCGCGUGAGUGAUGAAGGCCUUAGGGUUGUAAAGCUCUUUCAGUGGGGACGAUAAUGACGGUACCCACAGAAGAAGCCCCGGCUAACUUCGUGCCAGCAGCCGCGGUAACAC
rnacentral:rRNA from 1 species